rnacentral:rRNA from 1 species
UCGGGAAUUUUGGGCAAUGGGCGAAAGCCUGACCCAGCAACGCCGCGUGAAGGAUGAAGUAUUUCGGUAUGUAAACUUCGAAAGAAUAGGAAGAAUAAAUGACGGUACUAUUUAUAAGGUCCGGCUAACUACGUACCAGCAGCCGCGGUAAUACGUAGGGACCAAGCGUUGUUCGGAUUUACUGGGCGUAAAGGGCGCGUAGGCGGCAAUUCAAGUCAUCUGUGAAAUCUCCGGGCUUAACUCGGAACGGUCAGAUGAUACUGCUUUGCUAGAGUGCAGAAGGGGCAAUCGGAAUUCUUGGUGUAGCGGUGAAAUGCGUAGAUAUCAAGAGGAACACCUGAGGUGAAGACGGGUUGCUGGGCUGACACUGACGCUGAGGCGCGAAAGCCAGGGGAGCAAACGGGAUUAGAUACCCAGGUAGUCCCUGAGCGGGCUGGCAAGGCGCAU